GAUGAACGCUGGCGGCGUGCCUAAUACAUGCAAGUCGAGCGAACAGACGAGGAGCUUGCUCCUCUGACGUUAGCGGCGGACGGGUGAGUAACACGUGGAUAACCUACCUAUAAGACUGGGAUAACUUCGGGAAAACGGAGCUAAUACCGGAUAAUAUAUUGAACGGCAUGGUUCAAUAGUGAAAGACGGUUUUGCUGUCACUUAUAGAUGAAUCCGCGCCGCAUUAGCUAGUUGGUAAGGUAACGGCUUAUCAAGGCGACGAUGCGUAGCCGACCUGAGAGGGUGAUCGGCCACACUGGAACUGAGACACGGUCCAGACUCCUACGGGAGGCAGCAGUAGGGAAUCUUCCGCAAUGGGCGAAAGCCUGACGGAGCAACGCCGCGUGAGUGAUGAAGGUCUUCGGAUCGUAAAACUCUGUUAUUAGGGAAGAACAAAUGUGUAAGUAACUAUGCACGUCUUGACGGUACCUAAUCAGAAAGCCACGGCUAACUACGUG
rnacentral:rRNA from 1 species